rnacentral:rRNA from 1 species
GCGUAAUAGCUCACUGGUCGAGUCGGCCUGCGCGGAAGAUGUAACGGGGCUAAACCAUGCACCGAAGCUGCGGCAGCGACACUGUGUGUUGUUGGGUAGGGGAGCGUUCUGUAAGCCUGUGAAGGUGUGUCGUGAGGCAUGCUGGAGGUAUCAGAAGUGCGAAUGCUGACAUAAGUAACGAUAAAGCGGGUGAAAAGCCCGCUCGCCGGAAGACCAA